rnacentral:rRNA from 1 species
UACGUAGGGGGCAAGCGUUGUCCGGAUUUAUUGGGCGUAAAGAGCGUGUAGGCGGCCACACAGGUCAGCUGUGAAAACUCGAGGCUCAACCUCGAGACGUCGGUUGAAACCGUAUGGCUAGAGUCCGGAAGAGGAGAGUGGAAUUCCCGGUGUAGCGGUGAAAUGCGCAGAUAUCGGGAAGAACACCGGUGGCGAAGGCGGCUCUCUGGACCGAUACUGACGCUGAGGCGCGAAAGCGUGGGGAGCAAACAGG